rnacentral:lncRNA from 10 species
CCCGCUUAGUUCCCGGAUAAAAGCAGCCCGGCCGCACCUGCCUUGCCAGUGCAAACUCUGCAAGACUCCCAACGCCAUCAGCCCUAGUCUGAUUGCAGUCGCCUGUUCACAGCCCCGAAUCAUUCACAGCGCCAAUUAGCCCGGGCUGGGUCCUCCGGCAGAGCGGGGGCGAGCGCGCGGGAGUCCAUUUCCAGCGCCCUGACGCCAGCUGAGUCCCGCGCCCGGUAACGCGGGCUUUCAAGGGCAAGGCCGCCGCCGCGUCCCUCCGUGUCAGCGCAUUUCCCUUUCUUCCCCGCUUCAAGAACAACUGAAGUGUGGGUAGGAGAGCCAUUUAGUCCCAACUAAAGACGAAAAUGUUUUUUCCUUCUGAUAAUGUUCCCUGUUCCGUCACUCGGUAUUAUGCUCCAUAAUGUGCCGCGUGCAGCCAUUUUGUCAUCGCUUUGGGUCAUCCUUGCUCACAAUUGGUUAUUUACUCAGGGGCUUUUGAAAUUAUUGAGUUGACACAUCUGUCAGACGGCAAAAGCAGAAAUGCUAAAAGGUCACUUGGAGAGAAACCAGCUGCUCCAGACAAACCUUUCUGCCUCCAAAUAGCACAAUCAUUACAGCCUGGCAGAUGGGGCCUUCGCUUUCACUUCAGACGCUCCCCUUGCCUUCAGGUAUUUAGCUACCCUACCUCAUUGCCAGGUCAGCCGGGCCUCCCUGUAAUUACCCACACAAUAGGCAUCUCUCUGCUUAAGAAGAACAGCUCUAUUUUCUCUAAAUAGGAAACCAGUUUCCUCACGGAUAUGAGCUACCCAACGCUUGCCACAAACUUUCCUGUUAACAGAUUCGUUUUGACAGUGAAAGCAACAGCCCACAAUUGCCUGCAUUUUCUUUCCUCUUCAAAACCACUUCUGCUCCAAAGACCAUGAACCUGAACUGAAGAAACGACUCCUUCCUGCUGGUGUGAGAUAAUUCAGUCUCCAUGAUGUCUUAAUCCUGGGCCUCCCUUAAUUGACUUCUAACUGUGCUGAACUGUGGCUGCUAGGAGUUGCAAUGUGGAUCGCAAUUUACAAGGAAGAGAAAAAGACCGGUCUCUGUUUGGAAAUUACAAACAUAGAAGAACUUAGAAACAAUGGGUUUCUAGAUUGGGUGGAAGGACUGGCUUGGGAUCCUGAGAGAGCAAGAAAAGUUUACCGGGAGCUUCAGAAAAAGUUAUUCAUCAUUUUUGGAGUGGAUAUUCAGAAGUGACUUCCCUCUUUUGCUCUGGUGCCUGGCUACUUCAAGAGUUGAGCUAAUCACAGGGAAGAUUCAGUCUCAGUUCAGCUGCCUCAUUUGAUCAGCUCAAGACUGAGUCCAACAAAAGUGGUCUGUCUAAUGAAACUCAUUUUCAUUUUUUCUCAUUAGUCUAUACACGAUUGAGACUGUAGAACGACAAAAGAAUAAAAAGAAGAAUGACAAUUAAAAAUCAUUUUCUCUGGCCCUUGAUUUUUGCCUUCUUUUUUUUAAAUGUAGUUACGUGCUCAUUUUUUGUUUCUUUUUUAUUCUCUGCUCUUCUUUUCUAUUGAUUUUCCCAUUUAUGAAGGGGGAAUUAGUAAAUCCAUGGUCUGAGUGCUGAGAUGUUCUGAUAGGCCUUCAAGUUUUCAGCUGUACUCUGAAUCAGAAUAAUAUACUCCAUCAAGGAGACUGACAUUGGCACCACCUUCCCAGAAAUCCAGGAGCGCCUUUGCAUGAGGAAAAGCAGAAGGGAGUAAAGUCAUGAAACAUUGUGUGUGUGUUUGUAUAAAACUGUAUAUUUUUGCUCACAUAUAAUAACUAUAUAUUUCUGCUAAUUUUUCCUUUUAAAGGCUAUUAAGUUACUUAAAAUCCAUUGCCUAAUAAAACUGCAAUUCACCUUUGUAAUUCACUCAUUUGUUUGCUGUCACAGGGAAGAUAGAAAUUGAGCACGUUUUCGGCUGGGUGUGGUGGCUCACGCCUGUAAUCCUAGCACUUGGGGAGGCCGAGGUGGGCGGAUCACGAGGUCAGGAGAUCGAGACCAUCCUGGCUAACAUGGUGAAACCUCGUCUCCACUA